UACAGAGGCCCCAAGCGUUGUUCGGAUUCAUUGGGCGUAAAGGGUGCGUAGGCGGCGCGGUAAGUCGGGUGUGAAAUCUCGGAGCUUAACUCCGAAACUGCAUUCGAUACUGCCGUGCUUGAGGACUGGAGAGGAGACUGGAAUUUACGGUGUAGCGGUGAAAUGCGUAGAUAUCGUAAGGAAGACCAGUGGCGAAGGCGGGUCUCUGGACAGUUCCUGACGCUGAGGCACGAAGGCCAGGGGAGCAAACGGG
rnacentral:rRNA from 1 species